rnacentral:rRNA from 1 species
UACGUAGGGUGCAAGCGUUUGUCCGGAAUUAUUGGGCGUAAAGAGCUCGUAGGCGGUUUGUCGCGUCGGCUGUGAAAACCUGGGGCUCAACCCCGGGCCUGCAGCCGAUACGGGCAAACUAGAAUUCGGUAGGGGAGACUGGAAUUCCUGGUGUAGCGGUGAAAUGACGCAGAUAUCAGGAGGAACACCGGUGGCGAAGGCAGCUCGCUGGGACGGUACUGACGCUGAGGCGCGAAAGCGUGGGGAGCGAACAGG